rnacentral:rRNA from 1 species
AGUGAACGCUGGCGGUAGGCCUAACACAUGCGAGUCGAACGGCAGCACAGUAAGAGCUUGCUCUUACGGGUGGCGAGUGGCGGACGGGUGAGGAAUACAUCGGAAUCUACUUUUUCGUGGGGGAUAACGUAGGGACACUUACGCUAAUACCGCAUACGACCUACGGGUGAAAGCAGGGGAUCUUCGGCCCUCGCGCGAUCGAAUGAGCCGAUGUCGGAUUAGCUAGUUGGCGGGGUAAAGGCCCACCAAGGCGACGAUCCGUAGCUGGUCUGAGAGGAUGAUCAGCCACACUGGAACUGAGACACGGUCCAGACUCCUACGGGAGGCAGCAGUGGGGAAUAUUGGACAAUGGGCGCAAGCCUGAUCCAGCCAUGCCGCGUGGGUGAAGAAGGCCUUCGGGUUGUAAAGCCCUUUUGUUGGGAAAGAAAAGCAGCAGGUUAAUACCCCGCCGUUCUGACGGUACCCAAAGAAUAAGCACCGGCUAACUUCGUG